UGUGUAGGCGGUUCUUUAAGUUUGGUGUGAAAUCUCCCGGCUCAACCGGGAGGGUGCGCCGAAUACUGAGGGACUAGAGUGUGGGAGAGGAAAGUGGAAUUCCUGGUGUAGCGGUGAAAUGCGUAGAUAUCAGGAGGAACACCGGUGGUGUAGACGGCUUUCUGGACCAUAACUGACGCUGAGACACGAAAGCGUGGGUAGCAAACAGGAUUAGAUACCCUGGUAGUCCACGCCCUAAACGAUGCAUAUUUGGUGUGGGUCAUUCAGUUGAUCCGCGCCGGAGCUAACGCGUUAAAUAUGCCGCCUGGGGGAGUACAGUCGCAAGGCUGAA
rnacentral:rRNA from 1 species